rnacentral:rRNA from 1 species
AUGAUCCCUGGCAGUGGAUCCUUCGGCGGCAUCCCUCAGCCAGAUCCAUGGCGAAGCUUAGGCUCGUCUGGUUUCGUCCCCACUUAUCCCCCCUUUUCUUGCUGUAAUAAAUCUCAAUCAUAUGGUGCACCAGAUGCUCUUCUUCCUCGAUCUGUUCUUGCCAUCAUGGUUGUGGGAAGAGAGAUAGAGCAGCAGGAGAUGUACAUGCCUGCCACUUGCAUGAGGCCUCGUUGCUACCUUCCUUCUCUUGAUGCCGCCAAGGUGGUGGAUGAAGAGGAGUGGGGAAGCACUGAGCUGAAGAUUGAUGGUCGGGUUCGAGCUCAUCAGCAGAGGAUUCUAAGGUGGAGCUACGGCGCCUGCAAUCGGUUGCCGGUCUUCAUCGAGCCUCUACUUCUUCUGGUCGAAGGGCGGCCAACCCCUUUCCUCCUGGCUUGCAUGCCUUAUGGGAGGCAGUUCUAG